GAUGAACGCUGGCGGCGUGCCUAAUACAUGCCAGUCGAGCGAACGGACGAGAAGCUUGCUUCUCUGAUGUUAGCGGCGGACGGGUGAGUAACACGUGGAUAACCUACCUAUAAGACUUGGAUAACUUCGGGAAACCGGAGCUAAUACCGGAUAAUAUUUUGAACCGCAUGGUUCAAAAGUGAAAGACGGUCUUGCUGUCACUUAUAGAUGGAUCCGCGCUGCAUUAGCUAGUUGGUAAGGUAACGGCUUACCAAGGCAACGAUGCAUAGCCGACCUGAGAGGGUGAUCGGCCACACUGGAACUGAGACACGGUCCAGACUCCUACGGGAGGCAGCAGUAGGGAAUCUUCCGCAAUGGGCGAAAGCCUGACGGAGCAACGCCGCGUGAGUGAUGAAGGUCUUCGGAUCGUAAAACUCUGUUAUUAGGGAAGAACAUAUGUGUAAGUAACUGUGCACAUCUUGACGGUACCUAAUCAGAAAGCCACGGCUAACUACGUG
rnacentral:rRNA from 1 species